rnacentral:rRNA from 1 species
CCUACGGGGGGCUGCAGUGGGGAAUCUUGCGCAAUGGACGAAAGUCUGACGCAGCGACGCCGCGUGGGUGAUGAAGGCCUUCGGGUUGUAAAGCCCUGUGGGGAGAGAAGAAUAAGUGCGGGCUAAUACCCCGCAUGAUGACGGUAUCUCCUUAGCAAGCACCGGCUAACUCUGUGCCAGCAGCCGCGGUAAGACAGAGGGGGCAAACGUUGGCCGAAAUUACUGGGAGGCGGGCGGAUGAGUGCGAUGUGAAAGCCCCGGGCUCAACCCGGGAAGUGCACUCGAUACUGUUAGGCUAGAGUACUGGAGAGGUUGGUGGAAUUCUCGGUGUAGAGGUGAAAUUCGUAGAUAUCGAGAGGAACACCGGUGGCGAAGGCGGCCAACUGGACAGAUACUGACGCUGAGACACGAAAGCGUGGGGAGCAAACAGGAUUAGAUACCCUAGUAGUC